rnacentral:lncRNA from 1 species
AUGGACAGCUGGCUCUCACUCAGGUUAAAUAAUUUAACAUUUAGGCCUAAAUGUAACUCUUCUUUUCUACCGGAAAAAAAAAACCCUAUGCAAGAGAGAUUCCGAUUUUGGGGCUAUGCCUUCAGCCUAAGAGAGAGCAAAAUCUUUUUCUACCAGCUAAAAGGAGGUGAAAGUUUUGGUCCCCUCACACCGCGGAUCGCCUUUACUUUGUCUAAUCGGGGUGUUUUGAGCCUCAUCGCUACGCCCGAAGUGCAGAAGAGCCUGCGGGAAACGAGCUCGCAACAACCGAGAACCAGGGAUCAACAACAACUCGCGUCGCUUUCCCUAUGUGCAUAUCACUCGACUCUCAUUUAAGCCAGAUGUGUUAACCUGAUCCCUGCGAAACACCAGCUCUCCGUGGAUUUUGACCGCGAGUGACCGGAUGUUGUUUCCGGCCUGAGGUUGCCUGAAAUGCCGUGAGGCUCGUUUGAAAGAUUGCGCCCGAGACCAUAUUUUUUAUGAACCACCAAAAAGAGACAUUUUACCCCCUAGUACAGAAGACUGGAUCUGAGGGCAGCAGCGGGGACAAAUGAUUGUAAUGAAGCGACGGACAUUUCAUGGCUGGUCUUAGAUAAUCGUGAGUCAUUGUGUCUUAUGGUGAGUAGUUUUGCAAGAGGCAUGCAAGCACUGUAGAAAAAGUAAUCAUAAAACUGUUUUUGUGAACACUCUGCUCCCUACGUUAUGCUUUAAAAAAUGUGAUACAUGUAAUGUGAUCAUCAAAGAACAUGACUUUUUUAAAACUUUUAUUCUUAUGCUUUUAAACUAUGUCACAUUAUCAUAAAAUACUUAUUUGUAUGUUAUAAUGUUUUUCUUACACCAUGUGUAAUUUUUAUAGACACCUUGUUCAUUGUAUCAAUGUGUAAUUAUGUAUCUUUGAUAAAUAAAUAAAAUAUUUAAUCUUGUGUUUGUGUACUUUCUGGUGAUUCAAUAAAAAAUUAGUCACAUAUCGCUCUGAUAAACACAGAUGGCUGAAAGAAAUGUUUGAUGGAACAAAGGAAACAAGUGUCUUGCUGCUAAACUUUUAAGUCACCAUGGUUUAAAUGAGAAAAUGCCACUAGGAAACUAGAAGCCCUAAGUCUUUAUGUAAAACAUGAAAAACUCCAUAUCAGUGAUAUCUACAAAGGUGUACUCAUUUCUUUGUUAUGGUACUUUACUGUUC